rnacentral:rRNA from 1 species
AGAACGAACGCUGGCGGCAUGCCUAAUACAUGCAAGUCGAACGAACUCUUCGGAGUUAGUGGCGCACGGGUGCGUAACGCGUGGGAAUCUGCCCCUUGGUUCGGAAUAACAGUUGGAAACGGCUGCUAAUACCGGAUGAUGACGAAAGUCCAAAGAUUUAUCGCCAAGGGAUGAGCCCGCGUAGGAUUAGCUAGUUGGUGAGGUAAAGGCUCACCAAGGCAACGAUCCUUAGCUGGUCUGAGAGGAUGAUCAGCCACACUGGACUGAGACACGGCCCAGACUCCUACGGGAGGCAGCAGUGGGGAAUUUGGACAAUGGGGAACCCUGAUCCAGCCAUU